rnacentral:rRNA from 1 species
GACGAACGCUGGCGGCGUGCUUAACACAUGCAAGUCGAGCGGAAAGGCCCUUUCGGGGGUACUCGAGCGGCGAACGGGUGAGUAACACGUGAGUAAUCUGCCCUUGGCUUUGGGAUAACUACCGGAAACGGUGGCUAAUACCGAAUACGACCACUCCUUGCAUGAGGUGGUGGUGGAAAGUUUUUUCGGCCAGGGAUGUGCUCGCGGCCUAUCAGCUUGUUGGUGGGGUAAUGGCCUACCAAGGCUUCGACGGGUAGCCGGCCUGAGAGGGUGACCGGCCACACUGGGACUGAGACACGGCCCAGACUCCUACGGGAGGCAGCAGUGGGGAAUAUUGGACAAUGGCGAAGCCUGAUCCAGCAACGCCGCG